rnacentral:rRNA from 1 species
ACGAACGCUGGCGGCGUGGAUAAGACAUGCAAGUCGAACGAGAGAAUUGCUAGCUUGCUAAUAAUUCUCUAGUGGCGCACGGGUGAGUAACACGUGAGUAACCUGCCCCCGAGAGCGGGAUAGCCCUGGGAAACUGGGAUUAAUACCGCAUAGUAUCGAAAGAUUAAAGCAGCAAUGCGCUUGGGGAUGGGCUCGCGGCCUAUUAGUUAGUUGGUGAGGUAACGGCUCACCAAGGCGAUGACGGGUAGCCGGUCUGAGAGGAUGUCCGGCCACACUGGAACUGAGACACGGUCCAGACACCUACGGGUGGCAGCAGUCGAGAAUCAUUCACAAUGGGGGAAACCCUGAUGGUGCGACGCCGCGUGGGGGAAUGAAGGUCUUCGGAUUGUAAACCCCUGUCAUGUGGGAGCAAAUUAAAAAGAUAGUACCACAAGAGGAAGAGACGGCUAACUCUGUGCCAGCAGCCGCGGUAAUACAGAGGUCUCAAGCGUUGUUCGGAAUCACUGGGCGUAAAGCGUGCGUAGGCUGUUUCGUAGGUCGUGUGUGAAAGGCGCGGGCUCAACCCGCGGACGGCACAUGAUACUGCGAGACUAGAGUAAUGGAGGGGGAACCGGAAUUCUCGGUGUAGCAGUGAAAUGCGUAGAUAUCGAGAGGAACACUCGUGGCGAAGGCGGGUUCCUGGACAUUAACUGACGCUGAGGCACGAAGGCCAGGGGAGCGAAAGGGAUUAGAUACCCCUGUAGUCCUGGCAGUAAACGGUGCACGCUUGGUGUGCGGGGAAUCGACCCCCUGCGUGCCGGAGCUAACGCGUUAAGCGUGCCGCCUGGGGAGUACGGUCGCAAGAUUAAAACUCAAAGAAAUUGACGGGGACCCGCACAAGCGGUGGAGUAUGUGGCUUAAUUCGAUGCAACGCGAAGAACCUUACCUGGGCUUGACAUGUAAUGAACAACAUGUGAAAGCAUGCGACUCUUCGGAGGCGUUACACAGGUGCUGCAUGGCCGUCGUCAGCUCGUGUCGUGAGAUGUUUGGUUAAGUCCAGCAACGAGCGCAACCCCUGUUGCCAGUUACCAGCACGUGAAGGUGGGGACUCUGGCGAGACUGCCCAGAUCAACUGGGAGGAAGGUGGGGACGACGUCAGGUCAGUAUGGCCCUUAUGCCCAGGGCUGCACACGUACUACAAUGCCCAGUACAGAGGGGGCCGAAGCCGCGAGGCGGAGGAAAUCCUAAAAACUGGGCCCAGUUCGGACUGUAGGCUGCAACCCGCCUACACGAAGCCGGAAUCGCUAGUAAUGGCGCAUCAGCUACGGCGCCGUGAAUACGUUCCCGGGUCUUGUACACACCGCCCGUCACAUCAUGGAAGCCGGUCGCACCCGAAGUAUCUGAAGCCAACCGCAAGGAGGCAGGGUCCUAAGGUGAGACUGGUAACUGGGAUG